CGAACGGGUGAGUAACGCGUGAGGAACCUGCCUCAAAGAGGGGGACAACAGUUGGAAACGACUGCUAAUACCGCAUAAGCCCACAGCUCGGCAUCGAGCAGAGGGAAAAGGAGCAAUCCGCUUUGAGAUGGCCUCGCGUCCGAUUAGCUAGUUGGUGAGGUAACGGCCCACCAAGGCGACGAUCGGUAGCCGGACUGAGAGGUUGAACGGCCACAUUGGGACUGAGACACGGCCCAG
rnacentral:rRNA from 1 species